rnacentral:rRNA from 1 species
AACGAACGCUGGCGGCAUGCCUAACACAUGCAAGUCGAACGAGACCUCCGGGUCUUGUGGCGCACGGGUGCGUAACGCGUGGGAACCUGCCCUUAGGUUCGGAAUAACUCCCCGAAAGGGGUGCUAAUACCGGAUAAUGUCUUCGGACCAAAGAUUUAUCGCCUUUGGUUGGGCCUGAGUUGGAUUAGCUAGUUGGUAGUGUAAAAGCCUACCAAGGCGAGGUUCCAUAGCUGGUCUGAGAGGAUGAUCAGCCACACUGGGACUGAGACACGGACCAGAAUCCUACGCGAGGCAGCAGUGGGGAAUAUUGGACAAUGGGCGAAGGCCUGAUACAGCAAUGCCGCGUAAGUGAUGAAGGCCUUAGGGUUGUGAAGCUCUUUUACCCGGGGUGAUAAUGACAGUACCGGGAGAAUAAGCACCGGCUAACUCCGUG